CGUGAACUAAAAUAUUAUCAACCAUCUUACUCUUGCAACAAGGGACAUUUGCUCUGUUUUUCCCGGAUGCAACUAUGCUAAUGGGAGAACUAACUACUAUUCAAUUUGGAGCAUUGCUCCGGUCCUUCAUUUUGAAGCAUGAGGUACUAAAAUCCUUACUCUGCUAUCUGUCUCAUGACCAAGCUGAUACUAAAAUCCUAAUAGUUGGUGAUGAUAGAUCGGACGGUCACGAUUGCACGGUCUAGCUUGGUCAUUGGGUGGAUAGCGUGAGUGAGGAUAUUAGUACCUCACAGUACUAAUACCUC
rnacentral:lncRNA from 1 species